UUGUAUUUAUUAGAUAUCAAACCAAUAUUCCUUCGGGUCUAUUGUGAUGAUUCAUAGUAACUGGUCGGAGCGAGGCUAGGCCUUGCUAAAUCAUUCAAGUUUCUGCCCUAUCAGCUUUCGAUGGUAGUGUAUUGGACUACCAUGGCUAUAACGGGUAACGGAGAAUUAGGGUUCGAUUCCGGAGAGGGAGCCUGAGAAACGGCUACCACAUCUAAGGAAGGCAGCAGGCGCGUAAAUUACCCAAUCCUGACUCAGGGAGGUAGUGACAAGAAAUAACAACUCGGGGGCUAACGCCUUACGAGAUUGCAAUGGGUACAAUUUAAACCACUUAACGAGGAACAAUUGGAGGGCAAGUCUGGUGCCAGCAGCCGCGGUAAUUCCAGCUCCAAUAGCGUAUAUUAAAGUUGUUGCAGUUAAAAAGCUCGUAGUUGAACUUCUGGGAGUCGCGACGGCGGCAUUGUCGUAGUCUGCGGCUUUCAUCCGCUUGAGAACCACGUACGUCCUUGAGUGGUCGGCGUGGGAAUCAGGCCUUUUACUGUGAAAAAAUCAGAGUGUUCAAGGCAGGCAAGCGCCCUG
rnacentral:rRNA from 1 species